rnacentral:lncRNA from 1 species
CAUCACCUCAGAGUAUGAUUUACAUCGAAGUGGAUAUUUUGUGAGCCUGAGCAUGGGGUCCAGCUGGUGUAAGAUCAUAUUGAAGAACGAGACCCCUUACACCUGGCACUACUCCGGUUCCCAUGUUGAUGACCCUUUUCCCAAUAGCUCUUACACAGAGAGGAAGGAAAGUGGCACACUGAAGGCUCAGGAGGAAAAAGAAUAUUGGCCAGAUCGGAAUGGUACACUCUGUAGGUUCAUUCUGAAAUAUGGAGAUCAUCAACACAAUUCUUUUUCAUAUCCCUACUCUGGAUAUCAACACACAACGUUCACCAUCAGAGAAAGCCUGGACCGCUCUGUCAUUGAGCUGCACUGUAGCACAGGUUCUGUAGUUGAAACAUGUCCCAACUAUGGUAAGUCGUAUUUUUUCAUUUGAAACCUUCAGGGCUCUAUUUUAACAACCCAAAUGCAAUUGUUGAUCUAAGCGCUUCAGAAAUAAUUGUUAAAGUUCCGUGGUAAUAUCUGUCGGUGCAAAUUCUGGCGGUAGUGUAAAGCUGUCUUUAGAUUAAUAAAAUGAAUAAUAGGUAUGUCAAGGGCUUGACCACUCACAGACCAAUCAAAAUGUGCUCCAUAGCCAAAUAUAUGCGCUCUGUGUAUUUGGGGCUUGUGUGUUUUCCUCAACUCAUAUGGAUGCAUAUGGUCUUCCAAACCACUGGCUAGUGAAUUGAUGGAUAGUUUCAGUAUCACAUAAUUGCAAUGACAGACAAAAUUUGGCUAACUUUCUUUAGACCUGACAUCGUGUCUCCGAAGCAAUAGACUUGCAUUUGCAAUAGUGAACAUAACGUCCUUGCAAGUUUGAUAAAAUAAUGAUAAAUGUUUUACUCUGAAUUUGUUGCCUAGAGCAUUAAUAAAAGAAGGCUUUAGGAUGUUAAAUCAAGGCUGGAUUUAACAUCCUAUUAGAUUAUAGACCUACUUUUUGUGGGCAAAGACUUCUCGCUUUGGCAUUAAACAUUAUUGAUGAUUCCGUUUUUCCCAAAAAGCAAAGAAGGAGAAGGACCAGCAGCGGCGAGAGGAGGAACAGCGGCGGAAGGAGGAACAGCGGCGGAAGGAGGAACAGCGGCGAGAGGAGGAACAGCGGCGGCAGGAGAGACAGGAAAGGGAGAGGAGGAUUGAGGAGGAGAUCAGCAAGGAGACUGAGGAGGCCAGGAGGAGUCUGACAGAGGCAAAGCUGAACCUCAGUCCUAGUCUGAGGGAGCAGGAGGGUCAUCGGCAGCACA